rnacentral:rRNA from 1 species
AAUAGAUACCCAGGUAGUCCAUGCCGUAAACGAUGUCUACUAGCCGUUGGGGCCCUUGAGGCUUUAGUGGCGCAGCUAACGCGAUAAGUAGACCGCCUGGGGAGUACGGUCGCAAGACUAAAACUCAAAUGAAUUGACGGGGGCCCGCACAAGCGGUGGAGCAUGUGGUUUAAUUCGAUGCAACGCGAAGAACCUUACCUGGCCUUGACAUACAGAGAACUUUCCAGAGAUGGAUUGGUGCCUUCGGGAACUCUGAUACAGGUGCUGCAUGGCUGUCGUCAGCUCGUGUCGUGAGAUGUUGGGUUAAGUCCCGCAACGAGCGCAACCCGUUUUCCUUAUUUGCCAGCACUUCGGGUGGGAACUUUAAGGAUACUGCCAGUGACAAACUGGAGGAAGCGGGGACGACGUCAAGUCAUCAUGGCCCUUAGGCCAGGGCUACACACGUGCUACAAUGGUCGGUACAAAGGGUUGCUACUGCGCGAGCAGAUGCUAAUCUCAAAAAGCCGAUCGUAGUCCGGAUCGC